UCCGAAUUGGUGUAGUGGCUAACAUUUGACGCUCUCAUCCUAUAUGAUCCGUCAAGCCCGGGGUUCGAUUCCCCGAUUCGGAG